AUUGAACGCUGGCGGUAGGCCUAACACAUGCAAGUCGGGCGAGCGGCGGACGGGUGAGUAAUGUAUGGGGAUCUGCCUGAUGGAGGGGGAUAACUACUGGAAACGGUAGCUAAUACCGCAUACCAUCAGAUGAACCCAUAUGGGAUUAGCUGUAGGUGGGGUAACGGCUUACCUAGCCGACGAUCCCUAGCUGGUCUGAGAGGAUGAUCGGCCACACUGUGACUGAGACACGGCCCAGACUCCUACGGGAGGCAGCAGUGGGGAAUAUUGCACAAUGGUCGCAAGCCUGAUGCAGGGACGCCGCGUGGGGGAUGAAGGCUUUCGGGUUGGAAACCUCUUUCGCUAUCGAACGGGGAGGUGGAGAAGAAGCGCCGGCUAACUACGUGCCAGCAGCCGCGGUAAUUC
rnacentral:rRNA from 1 species